GUUGACGGUCAUGUUUCUUAUCGGCGUAGUCCAGCCAGUGUUCGCGAGGAUUAGUCUUCUUCUCCCGCCAUUUGGUAGCAAUUGCGUUCUAAAGAAUACUGAACUUACACCAAUGGUUUUGCUGACUAAUACGACCAUAUUGCCUGCCGGCGGGUUGCUCUUGUAAAGUGGACGACCCAACGCGAAGACAACUACAACUCAUAUAUUAAUAGGAAUAAUUGCAAUUGUAAAAUAAGUACUCACCUAUCGAGGCAAUUACGAGCACAGCUGGUAAGCCAAAAGCCAAUGAAUAACACUCCUUUUCGCCGAAGCAGUGCACAUCCUCGCGUAAAAUUGGUGUAGUUGUAAUCGAAAUCAAUGAACCAGCAUUGACUACAAAGUAGUACAGUGAGAAAAAGAUGGUAAUUUGCUUCACUUGCUCGGGUAACUUAAACUGAUCCCCACCAAAAGCGGAGAUGGAUGGUUUCACGAGACCCGAACCCAAAGACAUUAAUCCCAACCCGACCAUGGUAAAUGUCGUCGCAGGUAAAUUUAAUGGUGGUACCGCACCAAGGGUAACCAAAGCUGAACCAGCAACAUAGAUGAACGAGAGAUAUAAGAUCGUUUUGAAUCUUCCAAGCCAACUAUCCGAUAUAAUGGCACCAAAAACGCAUAGAAAGUACCCAAGCAUAGCGUAGAUGUGGAAUAUAACGGUAGUAGUGUCAUCGUCAUAAUCAAGUUGCCGACUCAGGUACAAAACCAGAAUGGCUGCAGGUGAAUGGUGGAAAUUAUAUAAUCGAAUUCAAUAAGAAAGUUCAAAACGCUAUUAAAACAAAAUAGUUCGGACUUACUUCGCGUGCCAUAGUAGUGGAAACCUUUGCUGAACUCAUAACUGAUGAUAAAGAAUACUGAUUUUGGAAAAGGUAGUUUCUGAAAAAAAAAAAAAAAUCAAAAUAUUAUUGUAGCGUACUUCAUAUCAAUGUUGGUAAUACAAUCGAACUUGCCAUAUAUUGGGCUUUCGACAAGUGCACUCGAUUACCUUGCUUAUAAUAAUUAAUAAUUAAGCAUUUCUUUAUUUAGCUACCCACUUCAAUUUGUUCGAAAAUAAAUGAUGAAACAGACGUAUAACAAGUUGAAA